GGAAAACAUUCUUUCACGUGUCUGCUUUAGCAAGACAUCUUUUCACCCCUCUGCCCCAGCACACAUAAUUGACUUUCCAAACAAACCAGAAGUUUCCACUUCAGUUGUGGUGCCGCUGCGUCAGAUGGUAGAUGGAUUAUUAGACUUUGAGGAACCUCCGUUCUGAUUGUCACACCUUCCCAACUGUAUGAGUCCCCUAUAUCCACAUUCUGGCCAGCACUUGUUCGUGUUUACUUCAUGACUGUCCCUCUGCCUGGGGUGAAAUGGGGUCUCAGUGCAGUUUCAACUGAGUCUCAUGUGGCCUAACCCCUUCUGUCAUUGUCUUUGUCCUUUCUCUAGUUUUCUUGGUGAUGUCAGUGUGACAGGCUUUUGUAACUUACUGACUAAACAAAGAUUUUGAUUGCUUAGACUUCAAGUGCUACAUACAUUUUUAAGCACACUCAUGAUUAAAAAUUGUAUAUUUAACACAGAAUACCCACACAGCUGAUAAUUCGAGGAAAAUCUUGAAAUGCCAGAACUAUUUGGGAUAAAUAUAGGACGUGACAUUUUGUUUUGUUUGUUUGUUUUGUUUGAGACAGCUCGUUCUCUCUUUCUCUCUCUUUCUUUCUUUCUCUCUCUUUCUUCCUCUCCCUCUCCCUCUCCCCUUUCCAGCCCCCCCCCCCCAGUUGUGUAACUCUAAGUGUGAACUUGAUAUGCAGACCAGUCUGGCCUUGAACUCACAGAAAUCUACCUGCCUCUAACUCCCAAGCUAUGUGAUUAAAGGUGUGGCCCCCACGCCCAUCAAGACUUUUUUUUCUUACCUCUUUUUCCUUGCAGUGUAUUUAUAAGCUGUUGUUCACAAUGAAGUGAUUCUGCCCAUACUUUACGAUGAUGCCCCCUUCAUGUCCCAUCUUCUGCUCUAAAGCUUGUGUGGUCCUCUCCCCUAGAGACUUAUUCUCACCUGCAAAGUAAGAAAGAGAUGAAGGGCCACUUCCUGACUCACCAAAGAGCCGGGACCUCUCAGAUGUAAGGAAAGCCCUAAAUCAGACAGAUAUUGAAAACGGUGAAAAGCCUUAAAAGAGCACCUGAGAUAAGCGCCACUCUUCCUCUGGCUGGGAAGAAGCAGGCUGCCCUGUUGUGAGAGCCCACCUGUGUUGUGGCUUCUGGGGAGCGAGAGUGACUUCAGAAAGACAGGAGACGUCAGUCCUAUAACCAUAGUGAAAUGAGUACGGUGGGAACUGGGCUGCAAUGAUGCUUACUGCCCUGUGUUAAAUAUUGUUUCAUUGCCGUGUCUGAGAACCUUAAACCACCUGAUGGAGGGAAGGAUUGUGUUGGCGUAAGAUUUCAGAAGGUCCUAUCCAUGAUGGCUGGCCCUGUGGACUUGACAGAGGAGGUUCCUACCAGGUCCAGCCCCCAGGGAACCUUCACCAGUGACCUCCUUCUAGCUAAACCCCAUCUGUUUUUUUUUAUUUUUAUUUUUUAAUUGAGACAGGGUUUCUCUGCGUAGUCCUGUCUGCCCUGAAACUCAAGCCAUAGACCAGGCUGGCCUCAAAUUUGUAGAGAUUUUUCUUCCUCUGCCCCCAAGUACUGGGAUUAAAGGCAUCUGCCCAGAUACCCAGGUACCAUCUGUUUUUUAUCCAUUUCCCAAAAAUGAUAAAAUAUUAGAAAUCCAUCAAGGGAUUGAUCUAUUGAUGAGAUGAACACUCUCAGGAUGCAGCCACUCCUUAUCUUUAAAAACCAAGACCACAGUAUAAGAGAAUAUUGUGGAUACUGUGUGGUCAGACCAUCAUGCCUCUGAUGAGACGAUAGCCCCGGCAGACACUGAUUUUCCUGCCCAGGUGAGAACCCAGGCAGUCUUGUCUUGCAUUAAACAGCAUUGAGAGGAAUUCAUUCUACAUUACAGAUGGAUACUGCCUUUCUAUGGCACUUGGCUGCAGAGUAAGCUUUAAGUUUCACAGGUAUCAAACAAUGAUCUCAAAAAAACAAAACAAAACAACAACAACAGAAACCCAAAUAAACAAAACCAAAACAAAACAAAAAAAACCAAAAAAACCCCAAAACCUUUGGUAUUCACUCCCCUUCUCUGUGAGAACAUUCCAAGAUACCUACCAGAUGCUUGAAAUUGCAAAUGGUACAACACCAUGUAUCCUAUUUCUGCCUGUACAUCAUGCUUAUGAUAACGUAUAGUCAGUAACUCAGGUACCAUAAGAAAUUAAAAGCAAAAAUGAAUGAUGAAAGAGAAUUGUAAUAAUACACUAUAGCAAAAUUACCAGCAUCAUUUACACUUUGCCUUGGGGCCUUUAUUACAUAGGAUAAAUGUUACGGGAACAUCUGGACUGUGACACUCAUAGUAGCAGACCUAAUUAAUAACUGAAAUUGCCAGCAUGAGUGACUAGCGCGCAUACACAACAUGGAUACCAGGGUGGUUGGAAUAAGCAUGACCCCACCCCCCCAUAGGCACACAUAUUUAAAUACUUGGCCUUCAGCUGGUGGAACUGUUUGGGAAGGAUUAGGAGGUGUGGCCUUGAUGGAGGUAGAGGUAUGUCACCAGGGUGGGUGUUAAGGUUUCAAAAUCUCACGUGAGAUGGGUGAUGGUCUAGCCUUCCCAGGUCACCUUGAGACCUGCUGAGGAGAAAUGAGGUGACUUUGUGAUAUCUGAGGGACCGCCCACUUUAUAGAUGAGGGAAGUAGACUCACCCCAACUCGCUUGCAGAACUCAGCUCCGUCUCAGCUCUCAGCUGGACUCUCACUGACCCAAGAGGUCACAUGAUUCCCACCAGCUCAAGGAGCAACUAGAGAGCGGAUGAGAACUCGGAAUUACACACGGAAUCUUCUGACAGCUUGUCUCAUUUAUUUAUUUAUUUAUUUAUUUCCCACUUUUACUUUUCCCUGCCUGGAAUCAGCACCCUGUUGAUAAGCCCCUGGGCUCUACGU
rnacentral:lncRNA from 1 species